UUAGCUCGUUCUUUCUCUAAC
rnacentral:misc_RNA from 1 species